ensembl:lncRNA
CAAGAAACAGUAGGUGAUAAGGUGUGGCAGGAGGAAGGAAGGAUUAAAAAUCACUCCUCUACCCCAUUACCUCCAGAAAGUUACAUCUAACUAAAACAACUUUUUUAAGUAAUGUAAUAUCUGCAGAAAACCACCUUUAGAAAACUUUGCUAUUUUCAUUGAUCUGUAACAUGCAAUCAAUGUAAACAUAACAUGUUUGCUAUGCAAACACAGUCUCAGCUCCCAUCAUCUUCUACCGGGACUCCUGCAACAGUUCUUCCUCUAGCUUGUUGAAUCUACUCAAUAGUCUUCUAAUUUCCCCAGUGACAAGUGCCAGUGAGAUCUACCCAAAACAAAGUGUAGUCUCUGGAGUCAGACUGAAUGGGAUCAUUAACCCUGGGACUUUUGCUCAUGCAUGGUGUUUCCUAGCCUCAUUGUCUUCAUCUACAAAACUGAUAGCAGUCACUGCCUCUGAGGUUUCAGAUUAUGGAGCAAAAUCAUUUUAAAUGAAUUCAAAGUGGUUGCCUUACUUCACCGAUUAAACCAUCUACUUGCCCUUGGCCACAGGCAGAGUUCUUAUCAAUGGAAUGAAGAAGAAUAAAGUAAUUCCUAGCUUUGUUGCUUCUCCUUUUAUUUUCACUGGCUUUCUAAAUGAGCUACUUUAUUUUCAAUAUAUUAUUCCGCUUUAAUUAUUUCC